UACGUAGGGGGCAAGCGUUGUCCGGAUUUAUUGGGCGUAAAGAGCGUGUAGGCGGCCACACAGGUCAGCUGUGAAAACUCGAGGCUCAACCUCGAGACGUCGGUUGAAACCGUAUGGCUAGAGUACGGAAGAGGCGAGUGGAAUUCCUGGUGUAGCGGUGGAAUGCGCAGAUAUCAGGAGGAACACCAAUAGCGAAGGCAGCUCGCUGGGACGUUACUGACACUGAGGCGCGAAAGCGUGGGGAGCGAACAGG
rnacentral:rRNA from 1 species